rnacentral:tRNA from 1 species
GGCUGGUUAGCUCAGUCAGUUGAGCGUGGUGCUGAUAACACCAAGGUCACAGGUUCGAUCCCUGCUCGGUCC